AAAAUUCUUCAUGCUGGGCAACACGUCUCCAAAGUGACAUUAAGACGACAAAUAAACCCAGAUUCGCCAUAUUGGACAAUGUUUAAAGUCAUUUGCUGUCGAUUAGACAGAAGUUAAGAUUAUCUUCUUCUUUAUUACUUCGUGGACUUUAAAUAUGGUAUUAUUAAAGUUAUAAUGUGGCACUCGCAUAUAUAUAUAUAUUUUUUUUAGAGAAAAUGGGAUAAGUUAUACUAUAAAGUGAUGUUGCCAAGGACUUCAGCCUAACAAGGCUACAAGGGUGCUGAAAAAUAUAAUCUCAAGUACCAAUUCUGAAAGAUGUAUGUCGGAGGAUUUGGUGUUGUUGAACCCCCUCCCAUGGUUUAUGAACCCCUUCCUAGAUUUGUUCAAAGAUCAAGACUGGUUGCAGAGUAUCCGCCUCGUGCGUGUUAUAGACAUCCUAUCGAUAGAAAGAUCAAAUAUGUACUGCCACAUAAUAAAAAGAGACCGUUAGUUGUUAAAAAGACCUACGAUGCUCAAGAUGCUAGAUUACUACAAGAUCCGUACAACGCCGUGGUACCAGCUUAUGUCUAUGGUAAAGAACUUUAUGACGGUGGUUACUGGUAUCCCCCAGAUAUCAAUAGACCUCAUAGGACAGCCCCUACUUAUAUUAAUUAUAAAGUGAAACCAUUAUUACCCCCCGUACCCGAUGGUUUCUACAGUUAUCCAGAUAAGGAAUAUGAAAGGCAUCAAAGGGAUAUUGUAAGGGAUAAUAGCCAGACAUACCCCAGUGUAGAUAGUUGGACACCGGAACCUGUUGUAAGACGCGAAAUGGCGCACAGGUUUUCUGUACCAGCACGUCCUAGAUUUUAUUACCACCAACCACGCCCUGUUCGUGUAGAAUAUGUUGAUGAUUAUGAUGAAAGAUCAAUGGUACCUAUUUAUAGGCCUAGACGAGAACAAUUGUGGUCAUAUGACCAAAAACCAAGUGAUUCUUUCCGUAAACGUAGAUUACGAUAUUUAAUGGAACAGAGGCGACAGCAAGGAUUACUUUAGCAAAAUGUGUAUAUAUUUAUUAUUAUCAUACUCUAAUUAGAUUUAUUUAGUGUGAUAUAAACUGAAAAAUAAUUUACUUAUUUAUUUCUUAAUCUGUGUAUUAUUCUAAAACUGACAUAUUGAUCCCUUUAAUCCAACACUUAUUCUGUGAAAAGCAAAUGAAAACUAAUGACUUAUAAUUAAGAGAAGCCGUUUCUCUGAUACUUGUAAAUAUGGGAAAGAUGACUCGUUACAGCUUGUUUAUUGAUAAUACAUAGUUCCUGGUGUUUU